AUACCGUGAUGAGGGCACUUCUGUAAUAAUUCUUUGUACCUUAUCCAUGUCUCAUACAAGGACUCAUCAUUAAUUUGUUGGAAAGCAAUGAUCUCAUUCCUCAACUU
rfam:Gossypium hirsutum cultivar TM-1 chromosome 12, whole genome shotgun sequence